rnacentral:rRNA from 1 species
AUGCAUUAUUUUUGUUGUAUAUGGAAUAUGGAAGCAAAUCCUCAUUUUUCUAGAUGCAAUAAAAAUUCUUUGGAAGCAAAUACUCAUUUUUUUAGAUGCAAGUUCGAAAUUCUUUGGAAGCAAAUUCCCAUUUCUUUGGACGCAUUUCUUUGGACGCAAAUACCAAAUUCUUUGGAAGCAAAGUCCCAAUUUAAUUUCUUCGAAACCGCCAGUAAUAACAAUGGUAAAAAGGUGUUUGAUGGAAUCAUAUAUUUGUAUUGUUGGAAGCAUUUUAUUGUUGCACUGGUGACAGCUCUAUGGUCAUUUGAAGUAAAAUUCUCCUGCAAUCUAAACAAAAUAAAUGGUCGCGCUGGACACAAAGUCUCACUGGAUUGA